rnacentral:rRNA from 1 species
AUUGAACGCUGGCGGCAUGCUUUACACAUGCAAGUCGAACGGUAACAGGGAGCUUGCUCCGCUGACGAGUGGCGAACGGGUGAGUAAUGCAUCGGAACGUGCCGUGUAAUGGGGGAUAACGUAGCGAAAGUUACGCUAAUACCGCAUACGCCCUGAGGUGGAAAGCAGGGGAUCGCAAGACCUUGCGCUAUACGAGCGGCCGAUGUCAGAUUAGCUAGUUGGUAGGGUAAAGGCCUACCAAGGCGACGAUCUGUAGCGGGUCUGAGAGGAUGAUCCGCCACACUGGGACUGAGACACGGCCCAGACUCCUACGGGAGGCAGCAGUGGGGAAUUUUGGACAAUGGGGGAAACCCUGAUCCAGCCAUGCCGCGUGAGUGAAGAAGGCCUUCGGGUUGUAAAGCUCUUUCGGCUGGGAAGAAAUCGCACAGGCUAAUACUCUGUGUGGAUGACGGUACCAGCACAAGAAGCACCGGCUAACUACGUG